rnacentral:rRNA from 1 species
ACCCAAUAGAUACCCAGGUAGUCCACGCCCUAAACGAUGCGCAUUAGACCGGUGCAGGUCUGACCCUGUAUUGGUCGUAGAGAAAUUGAUAAAUGCGCCGCCUGGGGAGUACGGUCGCAAGGCUAAAACUCAAAGGAAUUGACGGGGGCUCACACAAGCGGUGGAGCAUGUUGCUUAAUUCGAAGCAACGCGAAGAACCUUACCUGGGUUUGACAUGCACGGAUUAGUUCUUGGAAACAGGGAUGACACCCGCAAGGGUGGAACGUGCACAGGUGCUGCAUGGCUGUCGUCAGCUCGUGCUGUGAAGUGUCGGGUUAAGUCCUCUAACGAGCGCAACCCCUGUCGCUAGUUGCUAACGGGUAAUGCCGAGGACUCUAGCGAGACUGCCGGCGUAAGUCGGAGGAAGGCGGGGAUGACGUCAAGUCCUCAUGGCCCUUACAUCCAGGGUUGCAAACGUGCUACAAUGGUGCGUACAGAGCGACGCGAGGCCGCAAGGCGGAGCAAAUCGCAAAAAACGACA